UAUGUUCUAUUUUUAGCCAUGGCGGCCAUCUUGGUUAGUUGACCUGGUCACUGGACACAAUUUUUAAACUAGAUACCCCAAUGAUGAUUGUGGCCAAGUUUGGUUUAAUUUGGCCCAGUAGUUUCAGAGGAGAAGAUUUUUGUAAAGGAUUACUCAGAUUUACAAAAAAUGGUUAAAAAUUGACUAUAAAGGGCAAUAACUCCUAAAGGGGUCAACUGACCAUUUCGGUAGUAUAGACUUAUUUGUAAAUCUUAUUUUGCUGAACAUUAUUGCUGUUUACAGUUUAUCUCUAUCUAUAAUAUUAUUCAAGAAAAUAACCAAAAACAGCAAAAUUUCCUUAAAAUUACC
rnacentral:lncRNA from 1 species